rnacentral:tRNA from 1 species
UGGCUCAGUCAGUAGAGCAUGUGACUCUUGAUCUCAGGGUCGUGAGUUCAAACCCCAC